AUUGAACGCUGGCGGCAGGCUUAACACAUGCAAGUCGAGCGGAGAUGAGGUGCUUGCACCUUAUCUUAGCGGCGGACGGGUGAGUAAUGCUUAGGAAUCUGCCUAUUAGUGGGGGACAACAUUCCGAAAGGAGUGCUAAUACCGCAUACGUCCUACGGGAGAAAGCAGGGGAUCUUCGGACCUUGCGCUAAUAGAUGAGCCUAAGUCGGAUUAGCUAGUUGGUGGGGUAAAGGCCUACCAAGGCGACGAUCUGUAGCGGGUCUGAGAGGAUGAUCCGCCACACUGGGACUGAGAAACGGCCCAGACUCCUACGGGAGGCAGCAGUGGGGAAUAUUGGACAAUGGGGGGAACCCUGAUCCAGCCAUGCCGCGUGUGUGAAGAAGGCCUUAUGGUUGUAAAGCACUUUAAGCGAGGAGGAGGCUACUGAGACUAAUACUCUUGGAUAGUGGACGUUACUCGCAGAAUAAGCACCGGCUAACUCUGUGCCAGCAGCCGCCGUAACAC
rnacentral:rRNA from 1 species